UGGACUUGACAUCCUGGUGAAAGCCCUGUGAAAGCAGGGCCCUCCUUCGGGACACCAGGACAGGUGCUGCAUGGCUGUCGUCAGCUCGUGUCGUGAGAUGUUGGGUUAAGUCCCGCAACGAGCGCAACCCUUGUCCUACGUUGCCAGCACGUAAUGGUGGGGACUCGUGGGAGACUGCCGGGGUCAACUCGGAGGAAGGUGGGGAUGACGUUCCAGUAUCGGAA
rnacentral:misc_RNA from 1 species